ensembl:lncRNA
CAACUCCCUUGCUGACAUCUCGGAGAACCAUUUCCACGAGGGAAGACUCAAACUGCCCCCCAGGCUCCCUGGUGACCAGGUGGGAAGGAAGGAAAUAUGGUUGGAGAGAGAACAUCUAUCAACAUAGGCCUUGGUGUCUCCCAUGAAGAGACCCAUCCUGCAGGAACGACAUUCUUUCCUCAUGUCCCAUGCUGGCCAACCCUUCACGAGCAGUUACAAAAUGUAAAGCAUCCACAGCGUACUGACUCUUCUAACAUCACUCCUGAGAAGAAGGCAUAAUGGAAUAAGACAUACGGUUUACAGACAGGUUUCUGGAGUUUGGCAUUCCAUCCUUCUGCCCCCAACUUGUCUAUUACUGGUCUGAUUAGCAGCUUCCAUAACACUUAGAGGAGAAUGACUUGGACCACUUUGGUCCUCAUAAGUGCGCGUUUUCUUACAAAAUUAAACAUAUAUUUACCAUAUGAGCCAGCAAUCCACUUCUAAUCCUAACUGUGUUCACAGAACAUCCAAAUGUGAGUGUUUAUAGCAGCUUUGUUUGUGUUAAAAACUAGAAAUAACCCAGAUGUCCUUCAACUAGUGAAUGAAAGUACAAACUGUGAUACAUCCAUACAAUGGGCUACUAUUCAGCAAUAGAAAGAACUACUGACAUGUGAGACCACAUGGAUGAAGCUCAUAGAUGCAUUAUACUAAGUAAAAGAAGCUAGACUUGAAAAGCUACAUCCUCUAUGAUUCCAUUCAUAUGACAUUUGGGAAAAGGCAAAACUAUGGAGGCAAGAAAGGAGAUCAGUGGUUGCAGGGGCUGGAGUGGGAGUGGAAGUUGACUAUAAGGGGCACGGGAGAAUUGUUUGCAGCGAUGGAAAUACUCGACAGCUUGAUUGUGGUGAUAGUUACCCUACUGUGUGCAUUAGCCAAAACUCCCAGAACUGGACACUAAAAGUGAUGAAUUAUUCUGUAUGCAAAUUAUACCUUAAUAAAAAACAAUACUUUUUUCAAAAUCCAGGUUUUUGAAUCAGACUAAAUGGCAUCUGGACCCUAGCUUCUCCACACUUGAGCCAUGUGACCAUAGUUUACGUAACCUUUCUGUGUCUCAUUUUCUUAACUUGUAAAACAGAGCUAAUAGCUGCAGAGGACUGUUGGGAAAAUUAAAUAAAAUGAUGUAUGUCAUUGUUUAUCACAAUGCAAGGCCACACAAGUGCUCAAUAAAUGGUAGCUAUUAUUUUUAUCCCCCCAAUUAAAGAGUUGAGAGGUUGUUUAAGGCAGAGAUUUCUAGAUAGCACUGUGUGGGUUUCUCUUUCAAACAGGAAGUCGAAGUUUUAUUAGAGAGAAUGGUAAGAACACCAGAGCCCCAUAUAAAGAGGGCUUUUACUUCCUAAGCAAAUUCUUAUUCCUCCACAAGAACUCUUUUCAAUUUUUCCCCUGAAAUAUUGAGGAUGGGCUCCAAAAGUCAUUUAUUCAUCUUUCUUGAGAGAGUAGUGGCCAUCUUGGGUAAGUCCGAGUUUCUGGAAAAUAAACUGAGAAAUAAGUAGGUAAAUAACCUUUCAGAACCUAGACCACAGUAUUAGUUCCUGAUAUCAUUCAUUCAUUCAUUCAUUCAACCAAAGGGCACCUAUGGGCACCAAUGCAGAUGUCCCGUGUGCCAGAGGGUCAGCUGUUGCCCACGCAGGCAAGGAGCUACUGUCCACAGGGAGCUUCGGUUCCACGUUUAAUGGGAUUCACGGAGUGAGCUUCCCGUGUGUCCCUA